rnacentral:rRNA from 1 species
CCUACGGGGCGCAGCAGUGGGGGAUAUUGGACAAUGGGGGGAACCCUGAUCCAGCGACGCCGCGUGAGUGAAGAAGUAUUUCGGUAUUUACAGCCCCGCCCUCCUUUAAGACAUCCCUUCCGCUCCCUGACCAAGCAGCCACGCCCAACUACGUGGCACACGCCGCGGUCCUCCUUCCGUGGCAAGCGUUAUCCGGACCUCCCGCGUGUAAAUUUCUCGUAGACGGCUGCGCACCUCCUUCU